UACUAGAGUAGCACUCGCAUAUCAAUAAGCGGAGGAAAAGAAACUAACAAGGAUUCCCCUAGUAACGGCGAGUGAAGCGGGAAGAGCUCGAAUUUGAAAUCUUAAAGGGUUUCCCUUUACGAAUUGUAGUUUAAAGAAGUGUUUUCUGUUGAGGUUUUGGUAAAAGUUCUUUGGAAUAGGACAUCAUAGAGGGUGAGAAUCCCGUAUUUGACCUUUACUUUCAACUUUGUGAUACACUUUCAAAGAGUCGGAUUGUUUGGGAAUGCAGUCCAAAAUGGGUGGUAAAUUUCAUCUAAAGCUAAAUAUUGGCGAGAGACCGAUAGCGAACAAGUACCGUGAGGGAAAGAUGAAAAGAACUUUGAAAAGAGAGUUAAACAGUACGUGAAAUUGUCAAAAGGGAAGCGUUUGACACCAGUGUUGUUUUUCUGAAAAUCAAUUAAAGAACUGUUUAUGCUAAGUUGUUUAGACUUUAUCAGCUAUCUGCUUAGUUUUGAGCUUUUCUUUAAUGCACUUUUCAGUUAACAAGUCAACAUCAAUUUCUUUUGCUGUAAAAAAGCUUGAGGAAGGUGGCUUGAGAUUCGUCUUAAGUGUUUAUAGCCUCUUGCCUAUGCAGUCGGAGAGAUUGAGGUCUGCAGCGUAGAUCCUUCGGGGCUAAAUGCAUUUGUGCUAAGUUAUAGCAUUUUAUAGACAACUUGUUGACUAUGAUUUGUCUUGUAGCUUACUCGCUUAUGUUAUUUUACCUACGCUUAGGAUGUUGAACUACUGAGACAUAG
rnacentral:rRNA from 1 species